rnacentral:pre_miRNA from 1 species
CGAAUACUCCCUCCGUCCGAAAAUACUUGUCAUUAAAAUGGAUAAAAGGAAAUGUAUCUAGACGUAUUUUAGUUUUAGAUACAUCUAUUUUUAUCCAUUUUGAUGACAAGUAUUUUUGGACAGAGGGAGUAGAAA